UACGUAGGGUGCGAGCGUUGUCCGGAAUUAUUGGGCGUAAAGGGCUCGUAGGCGGUUUGUCACGUCGGGAGUGAAAACUCAGGGCUUAACCCUGAGCCUGCUUCCGAUACGGGCAGACUGGAGGUAUGCAGGGGAGAACGGAAUUCCUGGUGUAGCGGUGAAAUGCGCAGAUAUCAGGAGGAACACCGGUGGCGAAGGCGGGUCUCUGGGCCGAUACUGACGCUGAGGGGCGAAAGCGUGGGGAGCGAACAGG
rnacentral:rRNA from 1 species